UACGUAGGCAGCAAGCGUUGUUCGGAGUUACUGGGCGUAAAGAGUAUGUAGGCGGUUGCGUAAGUUCGGUGUGAAAUCUCCCGGCUUAACUGGGAGGGUGCGCCGAAAACUGCGUGGCUUGAGUGCGGGAGAGGAGAGCGGAAUUCCUGGUGUAGCGGUGAAAUGCGUAGAUAUCUGGAGGAACACCGGUGGCGAAGGCGGCAUCCUGGACCGGUAUUGACGCUGAGGCGCGAAAGCUAGGGGAGCAAACGGG
rnacentral:rRNA from 1 species